rnacentral:rRNA from 2 species
GGAUCGACGGGUCGGUCGCGCCUCUGGUGUGUACUGGCCCUGUCGGUUUCUCCCUUCUGACGAACCACGAUGUCAUUAAUUUGGUGUCGUGGGAAAUCAGGACUGUUACUUUGAAAAAAUUAGAGUGUUUAAAGCAGGCAUUCGCUUGAAUACAUUAGCAUGGAAUAAUGAAAUAGGACGUUUGAUCUUAUUUUGUUGGUUUCUAAGAUCGACGUAAUGAUUAAUAGGGAUAGUUGGG